rnacentral:rRNA from 1 species
UCCAGGCCCUACGGGGCGCAGCAGGCGCGAAACCUCCGCAAUGUGAGAAAUCGCGACGGGGGGAUCCCAAGUGCCAUUCUUAACGGGAUGGCUUUUCAUUAGUGUAAAGAGCUUUUGGAAUAAGAGCUGGGCAAGACCGGUGCCAGCCGCCGCGGUAACACCGGCAGUUCUAGUGGUAGCAGUUAUUAUUGGGCCUAAAGCGUCCGUAGCCGGUUUAAUAAGUCUCUGGUGAAAUCCUGUAGCUUAACUAUGGGAAUUGCUGGAGAUACUAUUAGACUUGAGAUCGGGAGAGGUUAGAGGUACUCCCAGGGUAGAGGUGAAAUUCUGUAAUCCUGGGAGGACCGCCUGUUGCGAAGGCGUCUAACUGGAACGAUUCUGACGGUGAGGGACGAAAGUUAGGGGCGCGAUCCGGAUUAGAUACCCGGGUAGUCCUAACUGUAAACGAUGCGGACUUGGUGUUGGGAUGGCUUUGAGCUGUCUCAGUGCCGAAGGGAAGCUGUUAAGUCCGCCGCCUGGGAAGCACGGUCGCAAGACUGAAACUUAAAGGAAUUGGCGGGGGAGCACCACAACGCGUGGAGCCUGCGGUUUAAUUGGAUUCAACGCCGGA